rnacentral:rRNA from 1 species
UACGUAGGGUGCGAGCGUUGUCCGGAAUCACUGGGCGUAAAGCGUGCGUAGGCGGUUUGUUAAGUCUGUUGUGAAAUCCCCGGGCUCAACCUGGGAAUGGCAAUGGAUACUGGCAAGCUAGAGUGUGAUAGAGGAUGGUGGAAUUCCCGGUGUAGCGGUGAAAUGCGUAGAGAUCGGGAGGAACAUCAGUGGCGAAGGCGGCCAUCUGGAUCAACACUGACGCUGAGGCACGAAAGCGUGGGGAGCAAACAGG